GAGUCGAGCGAGAAAGUCCUUUCGGGGACAAGUACAGCGGCGAACGGGUGAGCAACACGUAAGAAUCUACCCUUUAGUGAAGAAUACCCUCGAGAAAUCGAGGUUAAUACUGCAUACGUCCCUUCGGGGAGAAAGAUGGCCUCUUUGCUAUCGCUAAAGGAGGAGCUUGCGCACUAUUAGCUAGUUGGUGGGGUAAAGGCCUACCAAGGCAAUGAUGGUUAACCGGCCUGAGAGGGUGUUCGGUCACACUGGAACUUAGACACGGUCCAGACUCCUACGGGAGGCAGCAGUGAGGAAUCUUGCACAAUGGGCGAAAGCCUGAUGCAGCGACGCCGCGUGGAGGAUGAAGGUCUUCGGAUUGUAAACUCCUGUUAAGUGGGAAGAAAAGUCUAUUCCUAAUACGAGUAGAUUAUGACGGUACCAUUAGAGAAAGCACCGGCUAACUUCGUGCCAGCAGCCGCGGUAAUACGAGGGGUGCGAGCGUUAUUCGGAAUCAUUGGGCGUACAGGGCGCGUAGACGGCAUAUUAAGUCAACUGUUAAAUUUCCCGGCCUAACCGGGAGCCAGCAGUAGAUACUGAUGUGCUAGAGGAUGGAAGAGAGAAGUGGAAUUCUCGGAGUAGCGGUAAAAU
rnacentral:rRNA from 1 species